CUUUCUCUGUGCUAAUAAAAAGUCAGUUAUGCUCUACAAGUGACAGAGCUCCAACAGAAGAAUGUUCUCCUGUGCUUAAGCCCAUGAUUUGACGAAUCUGUGGAAGCCAGCACCACUGCUGACUUUUAGUUCACAUCUCAACAGCUGGAUUUCAUCUGAACACAUGAUCCAACAGAGGCACUAUCAGUUUACAGAAAAAGGGAGAGACCAUAGGAGGUGGAUUUGACAGCUGCAGGAGUGAACAAGAAGACAACUCAAUAUUCAGGAGAAAUAUUGGUACAAAAAAAAAAUAGCCGUUGAGUGACACAUUGGCAGAAAUGUCAUCUUCCAUGGGAGCCGGCAGUCAGCAAGUGCCUCAAAAUGCUCGGAAAGGCAUUGGAGCACUGGCCAGACUGAGUCACAGCAAAGAAGCCUUCUGCAAGACACCUUGUCCCCAAAGGUCCCCAGUGCCACAGCAGCCCAGGAGUUUGUGACAUCUUCUUUUGCCAGGAGUUGUGUGAGCCAGGCAGGGCAACCAGGGCUGCUUGAAGUCUGCUGGGCCAGAAAGUCGUGUUGGACCAAGGACAGCUUCUGCUGAACCUUCUGGAGUGCAGCUACUCGCAGUUUCCAGAACCGGUGUUGAGCUUCCUAAGCGGCUCUGCGAGGAGUGAAUUUACACCCAGCCUGGCUUAUUAUAAGCUCUGGCUUGUUAAAGCCUGCGAGGCUCCGGCGCAGGCUGGCCCAGCUCCAAGCGGUACAAAGCUCUGCACUAACCAGAGGGUGAUACCGCGUUCACAUUAACUUUUAUUUUGAGUACACACCUAAUCAAGACACGUUUGGUACCAACAACGUAUUGCGUUAACGGUGCUUUGCGAGCAACGCAGCCGUGCGGCAUCCCUGGGGCGGCAUCCCCGCACUGUGUGCCCGCGGUCCUGCAGCGAUGCACGGGGACGGGAUGCAGGACAGCGGGCUGAGCUGGGAUGGACUGGGCAGAGGACGGACACGACACGCUCCGUCCAGGAGCGUUCCCGCAGCGCUCUGCUGGCGACACUGCGGCCUCGGGGGGAUUCUUUGGGCAGGUGAUGCGGGACAGCCGAAGGGGCAGGUG